rnacentral:rRNA from 1 species
GAAGGUGUGCUGUGAGGCAUGCUGGAGGUAUCAGAAGUGCGAAUGCUGACAUAAGUAACGAUAAAGCGGGUGAAAAGCCCGCUCGCCGGAAGACCAAGGGUUCCUGUCCAACGUUAAUCGGGGCAGGGUGAGUCGACCCCUAAGGCGAGGCCGAAAGGCGUAGUCGAUGGGAAACAGGUUAAUAUUCCUGUACUUGGUGUUACUGCGAAGGGGGGACGGAGAAGGCUAUGUCAGCCGGGCGACGGUUGUCCCGGUUUAAGCGUGUAGGUGUGUGUUCCAGGCAAAUCCGGUUCACUUUAACACUGAGGCGUGAUGACGAGGCACUACGGUGCUGAAGUGAUAAAUGCCCUGCUUCCAGGAAAAGCCUCUAAGCAUCAGGUAACACGAAAUCGUACCCCAAACCGACACAGGUGGUCAGGUAGAGAAUACCAAGGCGCUUGAGAGAACUCGGGUGAAGGAACUAGGCAAAAUGGUGCCGUAACUUCGGGAGAAGGCACGCUGAUAUGUAGGUGAAGCCCCUGCGGGCGGAGCUGAAAUCAGUCGAAGAUACCAGCUGGCUGCAACUGUUUAUUAAAAACACAGCACUGUGCAAACACGAAAGUGGACGUAUACGGUGUGACGCCUGCCCGGUGCCGGAAGGUUAAUUGAUGGGGUUAGCGGCAACGCGAAGCUCUUGAUCGAAGCCCCGGUAAACGGCGGCCGUAACUAUAACGGUCCUAAGGUAGCGAAAUUCCUUGUCGGGUAAGUUCCGACCUGCACGAAUGGCGUAAUGAUGGCCAGGCUGUCUCCACCCGAGACUCAGUGAAAUUGAACUCGCUGUGAAGAUGCAGUGUACCCGCGGCAAGACGGAAAGACCCCGUGAACCUUUACUAUAGCUUGACACUGAACACUGGUCCUUGAUGUGUAGGAUAGGUGGGAGGCUUUGAAGCGUGGACGCCAGUCUGCGUGGAGCCGUCCUUGAAAUACCACCCUUUAAUGGCUGGUGUUCUAACGUGGACCCGUAAUCCGGGUUGCGGACAGUGUCUGGUGGGUAGUUUGACUGGGGCGGUCUCCUCCCAAAGAGUAACGGAGGAGCACGAAGGUUAGCUAAUCCUGGUCGGACAUCAGGAGGUUAGUGCAAUGGCAUAAGCUAGCUUGACUGCGAGAGUGACGGCUCGAGCAGGUGCGAAAGCAGGUCAUAGUGAUCCGGUGGUUCUGAAUGGAAGGGCCAUCGCUCAACGGAUAAAAGGUACUCCGGGGAUAACAGGCUGAUACCGCCCAAGAGUUCAUAUCGACGGCGGUGUUUGGCACCUCGAUGUCGGCUCAUCACAUCCUGGGGCUGAAGUAGGUCCCAAGGGUAUGGCUGUUCGCCAUUUAAAGUGGUACGCGAGCUGGGUUUAGAACGUCGUGAGACAGUUCGGUCCCUAUCUGCCGUGGGCGCUGGAGAAUUGAGGGGGGCUGCUCCUAGUACGAGAGGACCGGAGUGGACGCAUCACUGGUGUUCGGGUUGUCAUGCCAAUGGCACUGCCCGGUAGCUAAAUGCGGAAGAGAUAAGUGCUGAAAGCAUCUAAGCACGAAACUUGCCCCGAGAUGAGUUCUCCCUGAGACUUUAAGUCUCCUGAAGGAACGUUGAAGACGACGACGUUGAUAGGCCGGGUGUGUAAGCGCAGCGAUGCGUUGAGCUAACCGGUACUAAUGAACCGUGAGGCUUAACCUUACAACGCCGAAGCUGUU